GACGAACGCUGGCGGCGUGCUUAACACAUGCAAGUCGAACGGAAAGGCCCUGCUUUUGUGGGGUGCUCGAGUGGCGAACGGGUGAGUAACACGUGAGUAACCUGCCCUUGACUUUGGGAUAACUUCAGGAAACUGGGGCUAAUACCGGAUAGGAGCUCCUGCUGCAUGGUGGGGGUUGGAAAGUUUCGGCGGUUGGGGGUGGACUCGCGGCUUAUCAGCUUGUUGGUGGGGUAGUGGCUUACCAAGGCUUUGACGGGUAGCCGGCCUGAGAGGGUGACCGGCCACAUUGGGACUGAGAUACGGCCCAGACUCCUACGGGAGGCAGCAGUGGGGAAUAUUGCACAAUGGGCGGAAGCCUGAUGCAGCAACGCCGCGUGCGGGAUGACGGCCCUCGGGUUGUAAACCGCUUUCGCCUGUGACGAAGCGUGAGUGACGGUAAUGGGUAAAGAAGCACCGGCUAACUACGUG
rnacentral:rRNA from 1 species